UCUACCGUUGUUGUCCAGUCUGUGGCCUCCGGGGCAACCUGCCUUGUGCGGGGGCUGCGGGUGGACACUUCUAACUCUUGCGUAACUUUGCAGUCUGAGUAAACUUAAUUAACAAAUUAAAACUUUUAACUACGGAUCUCUUGGUUCUGGCAUCCAUGACAACGCAGCAUAGUAUACCUGGAUCGGGAGAUAUAUCACUGUUGUGCCCAAAUGGGAUCCUCAAUUUCCUAUCUUCUUCUUUUAUUUUA
rnacentral:misc_RNA from 1 species